rnacentral:rRNA from 1 species
UAGGGAAUCUUCCGCAAUGGACGCAAGUCUGACGGAGCAACGCCGCGUGAGUGAAGAAGGUUUUCGGAUCGUAAAACUCUGUUGUAAGAGAAGAACAAAUUGUAGAGUAACUGCUACAGUCUUGACGGUAUCUUACCAGAAAGCCACGGCUAACUACGUGCCAGCAGCCGCGGUAAUACGUAGGUGGCAAGCGUUGUCCGGAUUUAUUGGGCGUAAAGGGGGCGCAGGCUGCUUCUUAAGUCUGAUGUGAAAGCCCACGGCUCAACCAUUGUAGGCUUUGGAAACUGUUUAACUUGAGUGCAGAAGGGGAGAGUGGAAUUCCAUGUGUAGCGGUGAAAUGCGUAGAUAUAUGGAGGAACACCGGUGGCGAAAGCGGCUCUCUGGUCUGUAACUGACGCUGAGGCUCGAAAGCGUGGGGAGCGAACAGG